GGCCGUGACGAUAACGGUCUCUCUUCUUUCCCAGUCCGAUUCGACCAUGACGACAUGGGGUUCUACCACGCGACGCUUUCAAUUUAUUGGGAGCACUCGCUUUUCUUGCCAGUGGUCGCCCUUCAAAAAGGCGCACUACUAUAUUCAAGUGUCCGAGCC
rnacentral:snoRNA from 1 species